CCGGCCGGGGCCGGGCCGAUCGCAGCCAAUCCCCGCGGCCAAGGGCGGCGGCGGGGCCCGGAGGGAGCGGAGGGGGGCGGAGGAUGGCGGAGCCCUGGCCUCGGGCCUGAGCUCCCUGCACCGCCGGGAGCAUCCCGAGGGUCCCCCCCCCCACCCUCCCCCGCACCCCGGCUUCGUGCCCCUCCGGCUCCGGGCUCGCUGUCGGCUGAAUUGGCGGCCCCGAGCGGCUGGAUUCGCCCGAAAAGGGGCAUUGAGGAAGGGGUCCCAGGGCUCAGGCUGUUAUCUUCCCCUCGGUGGGGCGUCAGGGUGGUGAAAAACGUGGCCUCGUUGUUGUUUGGCUGUCUUAGCCGGCCGUAACAGUGCUGGGGUUCAGAGCGAGCGGGGAAGGCUGCGUGGGGGCAGAAGGUAAAAUGGUCACACACCCCCGCUGCACACCGAAGUGCAUAUCAGAGCCGCACAGGUGGAAAUAAUGCAAGGAAACUGCUCUUGUUGUGCCUGAAGGAGGUCACCGCAUUCACAACCGGCAGCCAAGGAGACGCAGCAGACUCCCAGCACACCUGGGAAGUCUUGAAAGCCAGCAGACGGGACCAAGAGCAGAAGGGAGGUACGUAACACGCAGCCCUUCACCGUGGGCCCUGCACGUGGUGGAUCAGAUGUACGGAGACGUCCACCAGGACAGCAUGCCGUUACAGCAGGACAAUAUCCUGAGGCACCUGACGUCAGUUCCUCCGGCAUCCACCAAGCACACAGUCCCAUGGCAGCGCCACGGCGUUUUCUUUUUGCUACACAGCAGAGACCGUGUUUGCAGGCCCCGGCUGCGGCACGGGCAGCCACCUACAGCGGCACUUCAAAGCAGCCCCCCCACAGCUGCAAAGGGAAACUGGCUGGGAUUACACAGAGGCACCGCAGCAAAGAGAAACUUCACAGCUAGCUGGGCGCAUGGAGAGCUCGAUGCAGUGAGAAACAGCCUGAUGCAAGCCAGUUUCCACAUGAAGCUAAGGCAAAACUUCUUGCUUAUGGAGGGGACUGGAAAAAAGAAAAAUACAACUCAAGAAUGCUAACCAUCAUCCCUUUGCACAUGACGUUUCUUGCUUUUGCUAUGGCUCAAUUUGACUGACAGGUUCUACGAAUGGUCUUUUUAUCUAGUCUACUUUAAAUGGGUACUGCACGUGAACUGUAAGUUUUCGUUUCUAACAAGAAAAGGAAGAUACUGAAUGGAUCAGGAUUAUACAUGGUUACUAUUGAACAUUUCAAAAACACGGAGAGGGUAACAUCACCAGUGCUAAAGAAAUGGCAGAUUUACAAAAAUAAAUUGCAAAAAUUAAGUAUCCAGAAAAAUUAAAGGGUAUAUAGAUUUGGAAAAAAAAAAAAAACCUUAGUUCUGCAAGUCUACAAGCACAUUUGUAGUGCUAUAGCUCUUAAUAUGCACUGCUGUCUCAGUUACUAAAGCUAUUAAUAUGCACAAAGUUAAGCAGGUUUAGAAGACACUGGAAUACUAGGCAAUAUGUUCUAAUUAUUUUGAGGGGAUCCCGGGGAACUGCAGUUUUUGAUGCUGAGAAUUUCCUCCUCGAUCCCUUCCUUUCAGGGGAAAGAUACUCUAGUCUUGUAAAGUAAUACCAAAUUUAGGAAUCAUAAGCUGUUGUGUCAUCAUCUGACUUUUAACCCAUAACCCAGGGAGAAAAGUGGAGUAAUUGUAAUUCUUCUGCCUUUAUCUGAUAAGGACUAUAUUGUAUCAGGUUUAUAGAACAUGAAAUGCAUUAUGCACAAAAGACUGUGACUGAAGAGCUCAAAGCUAGGAGAAGUCUUUGAAGUACCUGUUAUAUAUUCUGUAAACAGUCUGUGCUUCUAUCAGCAUUCUGCUCAACCCACAGAGACAGAAAUUCAUCCAUGGAGUCAGCCAAGUCAAUAUCAUCAUACAUCUCUCCACUAAGUACCCACAGAAAAAUCUUGACUGUGAAGGUCCCUCAUGCAAGAUUCACCUGUAAGAGUCAGGAGUUUUCAGCCAGAGAUUGACAAGCACCCCAGGGAAGCCCUGCAGCUGGGAGCAGCCAUGGGCAUAGGGGAGCCAGGAUGGGGUUCAAGCUACCAGCUCCCUACUCUUCUGGGGCACCUUGUUUCAUCCCCACACCCAGAUGUCCAGGCUAUGGGGCUCCUUAGGGGUGGCAGAGACAACCUCCAGGGCUCAUCAGAGGUGACCAUACCCCCACUUCAGGGGUGGCUUGACCCCCAAGCUAGGUUGGCCUUCUUUGGGCCAACACACUGUGAUCCCCUUGACUACCCAGGGCCUGACCCUACACAGCUUUCAAGGCUACUUUGGGGCAGCCUGAAUCACCCCAGCUGCUGGGACUGUCCAGGGAGGGUUUGAAACCUCCAGGCCUGCAUGGUUUCUCACAGAUACCACCUCAGCCCCUCCAACCACAAGCCUCUGGUACUCCUCAGGGUGGCCUGAUUCUUCUCCCCAGCUUCCUAGGCUGCUCAAGGACAGCCUGGAUCCCUGAGUGCCUUGAUUUCUAUUCUGGGGAGACCUGCUCUGAGGGACCUUGAAUGUGGCCUUCCACUAACAUGGGCUCUACUGAGGAGGCCAGAUUCUCCUCCCCAGCUGGUCUCCAGGAUGGCUUAACACCCUUCCAGCCUUUGGAGUUUCCUUGGGGGAGCUCUGAGCCCUCAUCAGGGGCAGUUUGACCUCUUUCCUAUCUUACCAGGUUGCUCAAGGAACCCACGUUUUCAUCCCCAAGCCCUCUUCCCAGCCAAGGGACUACUCUCAGGCUUGAUUAUGCCACAUUUACCCAGCCUCAUCAGCUUGAGCUUCAUCCCAGCUUCCUGCUGUUGGUCAGCCCAAAUCUCCCUGUCACCAGCCAUUUAGCCUCACACAGGGGAGCCAUAGGAUGGACAGUGUCCUUACCACCAGGGCACAGCUCCCUGGAGUCUGAACAAGCUGAGCAGAGCCUGGCACUGGUAGCAAAGUCCACAAACAGUCCCAGACAAGGCAAGCUGAUGACACACAGCAAGACUGGGAUGGCCCUUCAGAGCCAUCGGCCGAGGGAGGCCCCAUGUGAGGCUGGUCGGGGCCAUUGAGGCCUAUCGAUGCACUGGGUGCCACAACACUCCAGCAAACUUGCUUGCUGCAGCAUAGGUUUGCUUGGAGAGACAUGAAGGAGCUCUCACAUUGUCAGCGUGAGAAUCCCUUUGUCUUGGGGACCAUGUCUGGUUUCCCCGGCCUGGGGAUUUGGAUCAGAAAAAACUUAUAACUUUCUCAUAUCCUCAGGAUGUUUAAAACCUAUUGACAGAAGCACAAUGGAGAAACUAGAAGAAACUGAGCAUUUUCUGCCUCAGAGUUAGCUGGAUCCUGCACAGAGUUUGUGGGACAGAGGGUGAAGGCUGGGAAGCAGAGUGACUUGCAGAACUUUUCAAGCAGCUCAUGAGACACAAUCGUAAAUGACAGCAGUUGUCAAGGAGGACACACGCACUUUUUGGAAAGGCCUCAUACAUGGCUGCGGUGAAGUGAUACUACUUAAUGACAUUUCUUAUGAAAUUAGCGCAGGAACCACAAGCACUUUGACACUGUGGGGUGAUGUCUCUGUGGGAAUUGUGUUUCCCGUGAUUUCAUGGACUGGAGGGUUCUGCAGGGCUGUAUCAAGGUGGCAGAGAUCCAGACAGCUUCUUCCCCUUCCUGAAGAACUCCCUCUAUUCAUCCAAAGCUCUCCCACUUCUUGAUAUAAAAGACAUUUCUUUCAUUUGGUCCUCAAGAUGACCAGAUACAUUUCUGUGCUUAUCUUCAGUGUAUUCAUAGGUUUGAAAGUUGCAGGUAUGAAUCACAUAAGAGAAAAAUAACGUAACAGGCAGUCUUUAUUUCAUUCUUCAGUUUCUAUGGUUUCAGAAAUUUAAAACAAAAUGUUUUCAUUUUUACUUGUAGUCUCUUUAUCUUGCAGGCACUUUCACUCUGCCAGCUCUGCUAGAAUUUUGUUCUGGAGGUCUGGCCUUUUUGCCAUGUUCACUUCAUGCCACAGAGUCAAAGAAAAGGGUUUUCAUGACACGGAGAUUUCAGUCUAUCGUAGUCUAGCCUGAAUCAUUAGUGAAUUACUUUAUAAGGUUUCAUACUGCCUUAGUAGUUUUACACAGCAUAUGCUUUGCAGUAAUUGUGUUGACUCCCUAGAGCUGGGGAGAGGAGUCGGGGGAAUUUGGAAGCUGUGUUAAUGACUGUGGUACCAUUUUAACAGGCAGUCCUAACUUUGGAGGGUGAAUUCCUGCUCUGUGUGCUGAAAAAGCAAAGAAAGAAACAAUUUUGUAAGCUAAGGAUAAAGGAGUCCUAGCCAGGAUUGCUGUUCAGCACAUGUAUCAUGCCUCCAGAGGUUCUGCUGCAGAGAGUCAUCUGUCUAGGAAAUGGGGAAGAGACCUCUAAAAUCAGGGAGGUUCAGACCACCUUCCGUAUUCUGAAAUUCCUUGAAGAACACCAGCACAUGGGCGCAAAUUUUGCUGAGCCUCUUCUCUGUGGCGUUGUUCACGUGGAGUGACAGCAAGCUUGACUAGUAGCUUGAAAUUUACUGCCUGCUUGUAAUGUGAAUACAGUUUUGAACAGCUCUUGAUCCUUUCUAAGUCAUUAAAAGUAACCCUAAGGAUUAAGAAAUUUGUAAUUCCUUUGAUUAAAAAAAAAAAGUGUUGGCAGGGCUAACAAAGAUUUGUGCAAUGGCUGUCUGGGCUGUCAAGCCCUAAGAGAGUCUUGGUGAAUUCCUGCUGUAGUAUUUAUUCCCUGAAGGUUCAUUGCUCAAUAAACAUUUAAAUGCAA